rnacentral:snRNA from 1 species
AUACUGACCUGGCAGGGAGACACCAUGAUCAUGAAGGUGGUUUUCCCAGGGGGAGGCUUGUCCAUUGCACUCCGGGUGUGCUGACUCCUGCGAUUUCCCCAAAUGUGGGAAACUCGACUGCAUAAUUUGUGGUAGUGGGGGAAUGUGUUCACGCUCUCCCCUA